UUAGAUAACGAAUACAAGAGAUAAAAUACAUUUUAAAUCAGCUCCUUUGGUUUGACUGUUCAUAUACUUUCUUUGUGAGUGUUGAAACAUUUUAUCGCGGAAACAUUUUAAGUAGUUCUGUUUAGCAGUGGGGCAGCACGGUGACUCAGCUGUAAAGCGUUGGCCUCACAGUUCUGAGGACUGGGGUUCAAAUCCUGGGCCUGCCUGUGUGGAGUUUGCAUGUUAUCCCCAUGCCUGCGUGGGUUUUCUCCGGGCACUCCGGUUUCCUCCCAUAUCCCAAAAACAUGCAUAAAUUGGAGACUGUAAAUUGUCCCAAAGUGUAUUUGUGAGUGUGACUGUUCGUAUCCAUGUGCCCUGCAAUUGGCUGGCACCCGUGAGGAUAAGUGGCUCAGAAAACGGUUGGUUGCUUACUUGUGCGUUAGAUUAUGAAUAAAUUAUAUUCUUAAAAACAAAUGCUUGAACAGACUUUGAGCCAUUUGAGCAGUUGUUUAUGCUUGAACAGCCUUUGAGCUGUUUGAGGAUUUAUUUAUCAGCUGUUUGAGCAUUUUUUAAAUCAUAUCCAUGAUAUCCAUCUUAAUGUAUAUGUAAUAGUACUAGGAUAACUUCACCAUCUGAGUAGGAAAUUUUGAGAUCGGGUUACCCCGUUACGAGUAAGGCAAAAAUUGUGCACUCGCUGACAACUGGAUGCUACUAUUACUAUGAGAGACCUAAAAUACAUGUUAACAUCCAGUUCUUCAGGACUGCACAUUUUUGCCUCGCUAGUUAACAGAUAUUUGUACAACUAGUAUGAAUGGGUUGUCUUCCUUGUGUGCCAAAAUGUCAUACAGUAAAGGAAAAUGCACCUAAUUAUUCUAGAAGUGAAGGGAAAAAUCAGGUGGAAAUAUAUGUAUUUUUUAUGUUAAAAAAAAGUAACAGGUCAUUUGACGUGUCCAUCUUAACCAUGAAUACUAAACAUUUUAUGAGUUAUUUUAUUUGUCAUACCAGUAGCAUAUACUGUAUUUUGCUGUUUUUGGUACAACCCUGUAAUAGACAACUGAUCACUUAAAGGCAACUGAAAGUUUAUUUCAAUAUAUUGCUGUAUACAUCCUUUACAAUUCAACACAGAGACUUACAUUCUAUACAACUACUAGUUUUUUUUGUUUGUUUUUUUGUAAGACGUUCAUCACAGUAACAUGUAUGUGACAUCACUGUUUUCACAGCGCCAUAUUGCCGGUCAAACAAAGCUGCUCGACAUUAUGGGAGACAUUGAACCAGAGGAGAAUAUUUACAAUACUGAGACCUACUGUGCUGUUGGUUGUCACAAUAGAUGAGACAGUUCUUCAAAUAGAUCAUUCUAUAGAAUACCAGCUGAAAAGACCAGAAAAGAUCAAUGGAUUUUGGCAAUGAAAUGUGAAGAUUGGUGCCCAACCAAAUGCACAUGCCUGUGUAGCGAUCACUUCAUUUCAGGAUGUUUCCAUGUACACCAACCCAGAACUUUGUACUGGACAGUGGCAGGAGGCCCGUAGGAAUGUAAGUAGUGACAAUGGAAACUCCCGGGUUUUUAUUAAGAGGAUUCACGCGGAUUAUUUUGAAGAUUUGAGGAUUGUCAGGUUUGCGAUGAUAGCAAUUCUCACAAAACCAAACUCCAAAUUAUGAAAUAUCCAUCCCAUCAUCCUUUUUCGAUACCACAAAUACUGUUGAGGGUUGAGAAGAGGUGGACCCCACUGUAUAUCCCAACAAAAGGAACAAUACAAGCUGGACUGGUCACCACUCACCAGGCAGCACCGGCAGAGAGACAACCAUUCACAUUCUCAUCGCGGCACUGAGUGCAAAUUUAACCCAUUGUGCCUGCACAGAUAUCAGGUGAAGAUAAACUGGAGUCCAUCCUAACUAAAUCUGGGUACACCCUGGACUGGUAGCCAGGCCAAGGCACAUUUACAGUAGACAUAACCAUUCACACUGCAUCCAUCCAUCCAUCUUCUUAGCCGCUUAUCCUCACGAGGGUUGCAGGAGUGCUGGAGCCUAUCCCAGCUGUCAACAGGCAGGAGGCAGGGUUCACCCUGAAUUUGUUGCCAGCAAAUUCCAUGCCACAUUGAGACAAACAGGCUCACUCAUAAUCACACCUAGGGGCAAUUUAGAGAGUCCAAUUAAUGUUGCAUGAUUUUGGGAUGUGAGAGGAAACCGGAGUGGCUGGAGAAAACCCAUGAAGGCUUCAGGUGAAAAUGCAAACUCCACACAGGCGGGGUUGCGACUGAACCCGGGCCCUCAGAACUGUGAGGCCAACGCUUUCCUGUUGCGCCAGCAUGCUGCCUCAUUCACACUCCAUCCAUUCAUCCAUCCAUCCAUCCAUCCAUCCAUCCAUCCAUCCAUCCAUCCAUCCAUCCAUCCAUCCAUCCAUCCAUCCAUCGAUCCAUUCAUUACCAAAGCCGUUUACCGUCACAAGGGUCAUCGCAGAGCCGGAGCCUAACCCAGCCAGCAUUGGGCGAAAGGCGGACUACACCUUGAACUGGUCACCAGUCAGUCACAGGGGAGAUAUCAACGCCAUCACUGAGCGGCAAUCGAUCCCACGCUGCCUGAGCCGAAGUCAGGUGUCAUUCACACUCAUAUUCACAAAUAUGGACGAUUUAGAAUCUAAUAAUGCUUUUGAAUGAGGGCGGAAGCUGGAUUACCUGGAGAAAACCCACAAAAGCAUGGGGAGAACUUGCAAACUCAGUUGAGAGUCAAACCCUGAAACUCAAUGAGCCACUGCUCCCCCACACUCCCACCACCCUACUGUUGGUCCAAAACAAGCGUGGCUUUCACUACUAUGAUGACUGGGACCGGAUCUAGGAUCAUUGCUGUGCAGUUGAAGUAUUUACGUGAAAUUUUUAGAUGUCAUUGCUUAUUUUUAUAUAUGUUAAUAAAA